rnacentral:rRNA from 1 species
AACGAACGCUGGCGGCAUGCCUAUCACAUGCAAGUCGAACGAGACCUUCGGGUCUAGUGGCGCACGGGUGCGUAACGCGUGGGAACCUGCCCUUAGGUUCGGAAUAACUCCCCGAAAGGGGUGCUAAUACCGGAUAAUGUCUUCGGACCAAAGAUUUAUCGCCUUUGGAUGGGCCCGCGUUGGAUUAGCUAGUUGGUAGGGUAAAAGCCUACCAAGGCGACGAUCCAUAGCUGGUCUGAGAGGAUGAUCAGCCACACUGGGACUGAGACACGGCCCAGACUCCUACGGGAAGCAGCAGUGGGGAAUAUUGGACAAUGGGCGAAAGCCUGAUCCAGCAAUGCCGCGUGAGUGAUGAAGGCCUUAGGGUUGUAAAGCUCUUUUACCCGGGAUGAUAAUGACAGUACCGGGAGAAUAAGCUCCGGCUAACUCCGUG